rnacentral:sRNA from 1 species
GCUGGGUGUGGUGACAUAUACCUGUAAUCCCAGCAGCUGAGGAGGCUGAGGCAGGAGGAUAGCAAGUUCAAAGCCAGCCUCAGCAACUUAGCAAAGCCCUAAGCAACUCAGCAAGACCCUGUCUCUA